rnacentral:rRNA from 1 species
GUCCACGCUGUAAACGUUGGGUACUAGGUGUGGCGAUCUGAUCAACGAUUGCCGUGCCGAAGCUAACGCAUUAAGUACCCCGCCUGGGGAGUACGGCCGCAAGGCUAAAACUCAAAGGAAUUGACGGGUCCCCCGCACAAGCGGCGGAGCAUGCGGCUUAAUUCGAUGCAACCCGAAGAACCUUACCUGGGUUUGACAUCAUGGGAAAAGCCGUAGAAAUACGGUGUCCGAAAGGGCCCAUGACAGGUGGUGCAUGGCUGUCGU